GAAACUCUCAAGCUAGAUGCUUUAGUGUCAUCUACUUGGUUAUUGGACUCUGCUGUCUCCUUGUCUGGAACGGCUGGUCUCAAAUGUAUUAGCUGGUCCUUGUUGUGGGAUUUGGUUCUACUCAGCGUGAUAAUCUAUGACCGCUGAGGACAUCUUUCGGGAUGGCCAAGCCUGCCUUGGGCUGCUUCUAACUCAUCAUCAUGAUAUUUUUCAACUUUGACCUCGAAUCAGGCGGACUACCCGCUGAACUUAA
rnacentral:misc_RNA from 1 species